rnacentral:rRNA from 1 species
CUGGCGGCAUGCUUUACACAUGCAAGUCGAACGGGGUGAGGAGCUUGCUCCUCAUCUAGUGGCGAACGGGUGAGUAAUACAUCGGAACGUACCGUGUAGGUGGGGGAUAACGUAGCGAAAGUUACGCUAAUACCGCAUACGAUCCACGGAUGAAAGCAGGGGACCUUCGGGCCUUGUGCUAUACGAGCGGCCGAUGUCUGAUUAGCUAGUUGGUGGGGUAAAGGCCCACCAAGGCAACGAUCAGUAGCGGGUCUGAGAGGAUGAUCCGCCACACUGGGACUGAGACACGGCCCAGACUCCUACGGGAGGCAGCAGGUGGGGAAUUUUGGACAAUGGGGGCAACCCUGAUCCAGCCAUGCCGCGUGUCUGAAGAAGGCCUUCGGGUUGUAAAGGACUUUUGUCAGGGAGCAAAUCCUGGUGGCUAAUAUCCACCGGGGAUGAGAGUACCUGAAGAAUAAGCACCGGCUAACUACGUG